UACGUAGGGUGCAAGCGUUAAUCGGAAUUACUGGGCGUAAAGCGUGCGCAGGCGGUUAUGCAAGUCAGGUGUGAAAUCCCCGGGCUUAACCUGGGAACUGCAUUUGUGACUGCAUAGCUAGAGUACGGUAGAGGGGGAUGGAAUUCCGCGUGUAGCAGUGAAAUGCGUAGAUAUGCGGAGGAACACCGAUGGCGAAGGCAAUCCCCUGGACCUGUACUGACGCUCAUGCACGAAAGCGUGGGGAGCAAACAGG
rnacentral:rRNA from 1 species